AACAGAGCCCCCGAGCGUUAUCCGGAUUUAUUGGGCGUAAAGCGUCUGUAGCCGGUUUGGAAAGUCUUUUGUUAAACAUUGAGGGCUCAACCUUCAGAAUGCAAAGGAAACUUCCAGACUCGAGGAUGUUAGGGGUUGAUGGAACUCUUGGUGGAGGAGUGGAAUCCGUUGAUAUCAAGAGGAACACCAAAAGCGAAGGCAUUCAACUGGAACAGUCCUGACGGUGAGAGACGAAAGCGUGGGGAGCAAAAAGG
rnacentral:misc_RNA from 1 species